GUCAGGAACCCUGUCCCGUUCACGGGACGGGCUUGGGUAGAUGGGUUGAUUUCUGACCGUCUUCUACGCCAGCUCACCUGACCAGUCCCAGCCAUGGCAUAUCGCCUGGAUACAAUCAGGCGAGCCAUCGGGCUACGAUAUCAGGAAGUGCCAAAGUUCCUACCUGCGGAUGUGAGGCCAGUCCGCUGCUCUAGAACUCUUGGAUUAACCAGAUGUAGGAGGGUUAAGCCAGUGUCUAAGAGAUGUGCCGCCUGAUAUCAUCGACGAGGCCAACUUUAC
rfam:Ktedonobacter sp. 13_2_20CM_53_11 13_2_20cm_scaffold_2495, whole genome shotgun sequence.